rnacentral:misc_RNA from 1 species
CACACCUCUUCUCCAAAGCUCUCCCAUCGAUCUCUUACGCCCACCCAUCCCCGACCAGCGCCCACCCCACCUAUCCCAGAUCGGCGCCCAACCCAGCAGCAGCAGUAGGAGGUCGCAGUGCCGCACCAGCAGCAGCAGAGGGCUGCAACAGCAAUAUUGGGCUACUGAGGAAGCUCAACGUUUUAAAAAGUUGAUACAGGACUGUACUGCUUCUUUCAUCAAAGUAGGAUAUAAGGAUGGGAGAACUGCAGGUGGAAAAACAUGUUAAGUACAUUUUAGCCGUUGAAAAGAGAAAAGAUAACUUUGAAUCUGUGGUGAUGGAGCAUUUGAGGUUAAAUGGGGCAUAUUGGGGAUUAACAACUCUUGAUAUUUUGGGAAAACUUGAUGCUGUGGAUCAAGAUGAAGUUAUUUCAUGGGUCAUGCAGUGCCAACACGAAGAUGGUGGAUUUGGUGGUAAUAUUGGUCAUGAUCCACAUAUGCUGUAUACACUUAGUGCAAUUCAAGUACUGGCCCUAUUUGAUAAACUACAUGUUCUUGACGUUGAUAAGGUGUCAAGUUAUAUCGCAGGCCUACAAAAUGAAGACGGAUCCUUUCCUGGUGACAUGUGGGGAGAAGUUGAUACACGGUUUUCUUACAUUGCAAUCUGUUCUCUGGCAUUGCUGCGCCAGUUGAAUAAAAUUGAUGUUGGAAAAGCAGUGAAAUAUAUUGUAA